rnacentral:rRNA from 1 species
GAUGAACGCUGGCGGCGUGCCUAAUACAUGCAAGUCGAGCGAACAGACGAGGCGCUUGCUCCUCUGACGUUAGCGGCGGACGGGUGAGUAACACGUGGAUAACCUACCUAUAAGACUGGGAUCACUUCGGGACACCGGAGCUAAUACCGGAUUAUAUCUUGAACCGCAUUGUUCAAUAGUAAAAGACGGUUUUGCUGUAUCUUAUAGCUAGAUCCGCGCCGCAUGAGCUAGUUGGUAAGGUAACGGCUUACCACGGAAACGAUGCUUAACAGACUGGAGAGGGGAAUCGCCCACACUGGAACGGGAACACGGUCCAGACUCCUACGGGAGGAGGCAGUAGGGAAUCUUCCGAAAUGGGCGAAAGCCGGCCGGGGCAACGCCGCGGGGGGGAGGAAGGUCUUCGGAUCGUAAAACUCUGUUAUUAGGGAAGAACAAAUGUGUAAUUAACUAUGCACGUCUUGACGGUACCUAACCAGAAAGCCACGGCUAACUACGUG